AUCUUUUCUUCUUUGUUUUUAUUUGAUUUUUAUUCUAAUUAUUGAUUAACAUUAAAUGUUUUUUUCUUUCUUCUUCUAAUUGUUUCUCUUUUUCUCUAAUUAAUAUCAAGUCAAUUAAUCUAAGGAAAAAGAGAUGUUCGUUUUUGGAAUCUUGUUAAUUGAGUCAUAACAUACAUACCAUUUAUAUAUAAAUUACAUCAACAACAACAAGAGAUUGAUCUUUAUGGAUGAAAGAUCUUAAGCUGAUUCAUUUUGAAGAUUGGUAAAUGUUUCUAUAAAUAUCGGUUGAAUAUCAAGUUGAUAUUUGUUUCAUCUCUAUCAUCAUCUUCAUCACCAUUUCACCAUCAUCAUCAUCUUUUAUCUUCAUCUUAAUCAUCCUUCUCAAUCGUCUCCAGUUUUAACCUUUACUUUUUGUUGAGGUCAAAGGAGAUGAAUAUGUUUAGUGUAUAUUGGGUAUAAACAACAACAACAACAACAAUACACCAUUUGAAAGCUUUGGUUACACCGGAAAUUGACUAAUCCAUUGAAAGAGAAAACGUCUCCCACAUUUUCAAAUAGCUCAUUGAUAUUAUCAUACUAAUCAUUAUCAUCAUCAUGAUUACUGAUUCAAUAGGAGGAUAAUAUGGAGCCCAAUCAGCUAACAUUUAACUUCCAAUCAACCGACGCUUAUACAUUCUUCAUCUCUCACUCACUCACUCAUUUCUCUCUCAAUAUAUUACUAUUUAUAUUUCAUCAGGCGUUUCAAGCAAUUUUCCCCAUGGUAACCCAGAUGAUCUAAGAUAAUAUUUAAAGUGUGUGUGUUUCGGUGUUAUCUUCAUCAUCUAUCUGUCAAUAUUUGGAAGAAAAAAACGAGAAGAAAAAGCGAAAAGAAACUUUAAGUUCCUCUGUAAAGAGGAAGAAAGAUACAGAAUGAGAGAGAGAGAAAAUAUGACCAAGAGAGGAAAAUAUUCUAAUGUUAAUUAUUAACCAUUAGAAAUGUAUAUUAACCAUACAAGCUCUCAUAUUGUCUACGCAUCAUCAACUGGUUUCGUUGGAAUAUUUUUCAUCAUCAUCCUUCCUCUUCCUCUUCUUUUUAAUCUUAUUCACUCUUCUACACCAUCAUCUUAAAACUCAUUCAUAACAAUUUUCACUCACUCAUUCAACUUUUUUUUUCUCUUCUUAUAAAUAUAGUAAAUCCUUUUGGCCUGUAAAAGAUUCAUGAUGAUGCCUACUACUUUUUUUUCUUCAUCAUCAUCAUCCUCAUCAUCUCUUUCAUGUUUACAUGUUACUUGUUGCAGACUAUUGCUGUUUUUAUCAUCCUCAUUAUGAGUCACACCUUUGGUAUCAUGCCAAUUCAGAGGAUGAUGAUGGAACAGAAAACUCGCCUUCAGGGGAAAGCCUGAAAAAAAAUGAAUCUUACAAAAAUCAUCAAUCUGUCUAACAACAUCUUCUUUCAUACAUAUUUUCUCCUCUUCUUCUACUGAUUUCUCAUCAUAACCAUCAUCAUUAUCAGCUUUUCAGCAUCAUUUGUUCAUGAAUCAAUGAAAAAUAUUCAACAAAAAAAUGAAUUGAAUCAGACUAAUGGUUUCUGCUUAACAAAUUGUUACUACACCGCCUUUACACUCACACAAACGCACACACACACACACACACACACACACCAGCGUAGUUUCCAGGAAAGUCUCAGGAAUCAACAUCAUCAUCAUCUUUAUUCUUAUCAUGAACAUGAUGAUAAUAAUCAUCAUCAUAAACCAUUACAAAAACUGACAUAAAACUAUCAGUUAAGGUUAUUCAACUAUCCAAAUUAACUAAUAAUUCAAUUGACUCAGCUUUAUGCCUUUCAAAUAAUAAUAAUAUACUAUUAUUAUACAUUGCCCACCAAUGUUAAUAUUAUUACCAUGUGAAUAUCAAUUAAAUUUGUUUUUAAAAACAGA